AGCUCCAAUAGCGUAUACUAAAGUUGUUGCAGUUAAAAAGCUCGUAGUUGGAUUUCUGUGCACCGGUUGUUGGUCCAACUCUAUGAGUUGGAGUUUUCAUCGGUGUACAUCCUGUUGGCAGACACGUGCUGGCAUUCAUUUGUCGGUGCGGGGAGACCACUCGUUUACUUUGAGAAAAUUAAAGUGUUCAAAGCAGGCAAUCGCUUGAAUACAUUAGCAUGGAAUAAUAGUAUAGGACUUUGAUCUUAUUUGUUGGUUUUAAAGAUCAAAGUAAUGAUUGAUAGGGACAGUUGGGGGCAUCAGUAUUCUGAAGCGAGAGGUGAAAUUCUUGGACCUUCGGAAGACUAACAACUGCGAAAGCAUUU
rnacentral:rRNA from 1 species